AAGUCGUAACAAGGUCUCCGUAGGUGAACCUGCGGAAGGAUCAUUAACACGUCCCAUUUGACAAACAUCCAAAUUUAAAUGCGUGAACGUUUCACUCGAAAGAGUGGGAUUUUUUACCCUCCCUUUAACAUUUUAUUUUUUUUAAACGCCAGUUUUUUGUUUGAUUAAAAAACAAAAAAAAGGAAAUAAAAAAAUUCUUUGUAAUUGCCUGAAAAUGUAUUUUAUUAUAUUUUUCAUACGAAACAAACGAACAACUCUUAACAACGGAUAUCUUGGUUCUC
rnacentral:misc_RNA from 1 species